GGGGGUUUAUUUAUACCCUUUGCCUUUUAAUCACAGCCUUCCAUCUUGAUUUAAUCUGAACCGUUCGAUCGCGAUUUAAUUUGGAUUAAAUUUAGGCCGUCCAUCGCGAUUAAAUUUGGGCCGUCCGUACUUGAUUGAAUCUGUGCCGUCCGUGCGCGUGCAUCUGGGCCGUCUGUGCGCGUGCAUCUGGGCCGUCCGUGCGCACGCUUGAUCUGGGUCGUCCGUGCGCACGCUUGAUCUGGG
rnacentral:lncRNA from 1 species